rnacentral:rRNA from 1 species
AGUGAACGCUGGCGGUAGGCCUAACACAUGCAAGUCGAACGGCAGCACAGUAAGAGCUUGCUCUUACGGGUGGCGAGUGGCGGACGGGUUAGGAAUACAUCGGAAUCUACUUUUUCGUGGGGGAUAACGUAGGGAAACUUACGCUAAUACCGCAUACGACCUACGGGUGAAAGCAGGGGAUCUUCGGACCUUGCCCGAUUGAAUGAGCCGAUGUCGGAUUAGCUAGUUGGCGGGGUAAAGGCCCACCAAGGCGACGAUCCGUAGCUGGUCUGAGAGGAUGACAAGCCACACGGGAACUGAGACACGGUCCAGACUCCUACGGGAGGCAGCAGUGGGGAAUAUUGGACAAUGGGCGCAAGCCUGAUCCAGCCAUACCGCGUGGGUGAAGAAGGCCUUCGGGUUGUAAAGCCCUUUUGUUGGGAAAGAAAAGCAGCAGGUUAAUACCCCGCUGUUCUGACGGUACCCAAAGAAUAAGCACCGGCUAACUUCGUG